GAUGAACGCUAGCUACAGGCUUAACACAUGCAAGUCGAGGGGCAGCGGGAUUGAAGCUUGCUUCAAUUGCCGGCGACCGGCGCACGGGUGAGUAACGCGUAUCCAACCCUUCCGUACACUCAGGGAUAGCCUUUCGAAAGAAAGAUUAAUACCUGAUGGUAUCUUAAGCACACAUGUAAUUAAGAUUAAAGAUUUAUCGGUGUACGAUGGGGAUGCGUUCCAUUAGGUAGUAGGCGGGGUAACGGCCCACCUAGCCUACGAUGGAUAGGGGUUCUGAGAGGAAGGUCCCCCCACAUUGGAACUGAGACACGGUCC
rnacentral:rRNA from 1 species